ACUGAAUCUGUAUUUAUAAACCAAAAUCUUCUAAAAUUUCACUCAGUACAUAAGUAUUAAUGUAUUAAUUUCUAAAAUAUUAAAAAAACUACCAUGGAACUCAACUCGUUGAAUCUGCUCACUAGGCCAGAAGUAACAAGGUAACCAGGUGUGUCUUCACAUUUGAGCUACUUUUCAAACACAGCAUCUUAUGUUUUGGUCCUAGCCUGUGGAAUUCUUUAUACACGGAAAUUAAAAACCUAGUAAAUAACGGUAAUCUAGAUCAAUUCAAGGUGAAGGUAAAAGAAAAUGAAUUAGCUCUUCAGAACUCAUGGCAUGAAUUUUUCAUUAUAAUGUAAUCUUGUUCAUUAUUCUUAUUUGGUAAUCCAUAAAAUAAUUUGUUCCUUUAUACACAACAUUGCGUAAUCAACCACAUGCAACAAUGUAUUACGUAAAAAGAAAGCUGUCUGUCAGGGAGCUACGGCUCAACAGACUGUGCCAUUAUUCACAUCCAUACAUGUAUCUACUGUAUCUGUGUACAUCACAUAGG